GGGUGGUAAAGGGUUAUUUUCGUGCAACGUUUUCGACCUUUUUAUUUCACGUGUUUUCGUGUUUUGAGGAUUUAUUUCUCGUUUUCUCGUGUUUGAUUCGACGUGCGUGCCUCGUGUUCUCCUUGAUUUAUUUUCCGUGUUUCGUGUCGGUACUCUUAAUUUCUCGUGCUUGUCCCGCAUUUGAUUAAAAAGUAAACAGGGAUUAAAUUCAAAGUCAACUAGAACACACCCGCGAAAUCGCGGGCAUAUACAGCUUGUGAACUGUUGUAGGAUGAUUCUUUGUAAAAGAUAUUAUGUAUGGAGAAUUUCACAAAAGGUAUCAAAAGCCUUCUCCCUAAAGUCCGAUAUUUGUUU
rnacentral:lncRNA from 1 species